UAGGAAAAAUAGAAAACGGAAACAGAAAAAGAAACUGGCAAAGAUAUCAAAUGACUCCUUAAUAAGCUCGCUGCAACAUUAGAUGCUGCCGUGCGAACUGCGAAGCAAACAGUAGUUAGUCACUCACACCGAAAGAAUAAUGCAAAGCUCCUCUGAUUCGAGCACCUUCAAACUUGACCAGCGAGUCCAUUCAACCAAUGAUCCACGCCGAAUCGGUACCGUCAAGUACAUAGGACCCGUGGAAGGCCAUCCUGGCACAUGGGUCGGUGUCGAUUGGGACAAUGGAGAAGCCAAACACGACGGGUCAUUGAAUGGAGUCCGUUACUUCGAAGCAAGGUCUCAACUUUCUGGGUCAUUCGUUCGGGCCCAGAAUUUGACUGCGGGCAUUUCGUUUAUAGAAGCUCUCUAUAUCAGAUACAGAGACCAACCAACUCAAGAAGAUGAGGAUGAAAUGUAUGUGCUUUCAGCUAGUAACAAAAGGGUAUCUGUACAACUUGUUGGUAAAGAGAAGAUUCAAGAUAAGCUAAGUAGAUUAGAAGAAUUGACUGGUGCUUCCCUUUCUUAUUUGGGUGUUAGCAAUCCGGGAUCCCCUAAUGAAAUCAGAAAUAUAGUGCCAAAUCUAAAGGAACUGGACUUGACUGGAAAUUUACUUUCAGAAUGGAAGGAUGUUGGCAUUAUAUGUGAACAAUUACCUUCUCUUGCAGCACUCAAUUUGUCUAACAACUCAAUGUCCCAUGAGAUUGUUGGUCUACCACCACUAAAAAGCAUCCACAUUUUAGUUUUAAACAAUACUGGCAUAAAUUGGACACAGAUUGAAGUGCUUAAAGAUUUAUUGCCAGUAAUUGAGGAGCUACAUCUGAUGGGAAAUGGCAUAAAUGCAAUAAAGACAGCAUCUUCAUCCAUUGUUCAUGGAUUUGAUUCUUUGCGGCUACUGAAUUUGGAAGAGAAUUGUAUAGCUGAAUGGAAUGAAAUUGUAAAGCUUUCUCAAUUAAGAAGUUUGGAGGAACUUCAUUUAAACAAGAACAAUUUGAACCAUAUCUUUUAUCCUGAUCAUGAUACGAUAGACAAAUUGGUUGGUGGUGAUGAAUCUCAUGAUCAAAGCUGUAUACCUUUUCAAAAUUUACGUUGCCUUCUUCUUGGAGGUAACAACAUUGAUGAUCUGGCUUCUGUGGACUCAUUGAACUCAUUUCCUAAAUUGAUUGACAUCAGGCUUUCUGAAAACCCAAUUGCUGAUCCUGGAAGAGGUGGUAUCCCAAGAUUUGUUUUGGUUGCACGAUUAGCAAAAGUUGAAAUCUUGAAUGGAAGUGAGGUAAGCACUCGUGAAAGGAAGGAGUCUGAGAUCCGGUAUGUCCGCUUAGUUAUUUCAAAGUUGCAUGGAAAUCCAGAUGAAAUCAAACAGCAUCCCAGGUUUGUUGAGCUGAAGAAUUUUCAUGGCAUUGAAGAUGAAAGGUCAUCGGUUGGAACAACAGGCCCUCAGAAGAUGGCUUCUGGACUCCUGUCUGUCACCCUUAAAUCUGUGGCUCCAUCUAUUGGCGAGAAACCUCCACUAACAAAGAAACUGCCAGCUGCUACUACGAUUGGGAAGCUAAAGAUUCUUUGUGAAACGUUUUUCAAGCUUGGGUCCAUUAGGCCAAAAUUGUUUCUUCAAGAAGAGGGUUCCCCUCUGCCGAUAUUGCUUGAUGAUGAGAUGGCAACUUUGAUGGAUGUUGGAAUUGGCAACGAAUCAACUGUUCUUGUAGACGAAGAGAGUUAGUACAAUUUGCAAAGGAGUUCAUAACAGUCUACUGGUUUAAUGUUUCGAAGGUCAAGGUAUACAAGGUAUUUACAUUUCAAAUCUUCUGGGAUUGUUUGUAUUGAGACCUCAAGAAAGCUGCAAAGCUUGACUUCACACAUUGUUCAAAUUUCCUUUGCUGAAAAACCAAUGAUGGAGAUGGCUAGGGAUACUUGGGCCGUCUUAGGUGGUGAAUUCUUUGCUCUGUCAUCACCGGUGAAGGAAGGCCUGAGAACAAACCCUGUAAAACGUUGUGGUGUCUUUCUUCUCAUAAUGUUCUCAUUUCUUCUAUUUGCACAAUUUUGAGAAUGUGUUUGAAUCUAUUUUCCCAGCACUAGCAAUGAUCAUUUCUGCUCUUAGAAUGUUCGAAA